GAUGAACGCUGGCGGCGUGCCUAAUACAUGCAAGUCGAGCGAACAGACGAGGAGCUUGCUCCUCUGACGUUAGCGGCGGACGGGUGAGUAACACGUGGAUAACCUACCUAUAAGACUGGGAUAACUUCGGGAAACCGGAGCUAAUACCGGAUAAUAUAUUGAACCGCAUGGUUCAAUAGUGAAAGACGGUUUUGCUGUCACUUAUAGAUGGAUCCGCGCCGCAUUAGCUAGUUGGUAAGGUAACGGCUUACCAAGGCAACGAUGCGUAGCCGACCUGAGAGGGUGAUAGGACACACUGGAACUGAGACACGGUCCAGACUCCUACGGGAGGCAGCAGUAGGGAAUCUUACGCAAUGGGCGAAAGCCUGACGGAGCAACGCCGCGUGAGUGAUGAAGGUCUUCGGAUCGUAAAACUCUGUUAUUAGGGAAGAACAAAUGUGUAAGUAACUAUGCACGUCUUGACGGUACCUAAUCAGAAAGCCACGGCUAACUACGUG
rnacentral:rRNA from 1 species